GACGAACCGUGCAAACGUUGUUCGGAAUCACUGGGCUUAAAGGGCGCGUAGGCGGGCAGCCAAGUCAGGGGUGAAAUCUUUCGGCUCAACCGGAAAAUUGCCUUUGAAACUGGCUGUCUCGAGGGAGGUAGGGGGCAUGUGGAACUUCCGGUGGAGCGGUGAAAUGCGUUGAUAUCGGAAGGAACGCCGGUGGCGAAAGCGACGUGCUGGACCUCUUCUGACGCUGAGGCGCGAAAGCUAGGGGAGCGAACGGG
rnacentral:rRNA from 1 species